CCUACGGGCGGCAGCAGUGAGGAAUAUUGGUCAAUGGACGAGAGUCUGAACCAGCCACGUAGCGUGAAGGAUGACUGCCCUAUGGGUUGUAAACUUCUUUUAUAUGGGAAUAAUAUGUUCCACGUGUGGGAUGUUGUAUGUACCUUAUGAAUAAGCAUCGGCUAACUCCGUGCCAGCAGCCGCGGUAAUACGGAGGAUCCGAGCGUUAUCCGGAUUUAUUGGGUUUAAAGGGAGCGUAGGUGGAUUUUUAAGUUAGUUGUGAAAGUUUGCGGCUUAACCUUAAAAUUGCAGUUGAAACUGGAAGUCUUGAGUACAGUAGAGGUGGGCGGAAUACGUGGAGUAGCGGUGAAAUGCUUAGAUAUAACGAAGAACUCCGAUUGCGAAGGCAGCUCACUGGACUGCAACUGACACUGAGGCUCGAAAGUGUGGGUAUCAAACAGGAUUAGAUACCCGAGUAGUC
rnacentral:rRNA from 1 species